GGACUACCCGGGUAUCUAAUCCCGUUCGCUCCCCUGGCUUUCGCGCCUCAGCGUCAGAAGAGGGCCAGCACGCCGCUUUCGCCACCGGCGUUCCUUCCGAUAUCAACGCAUUUCACCGCUCCACCGGAAGUUCCGCGUGCCCCUACCUCACUCAAGGCUGCCAGUAUCCCAGGCAAUUCUCCGGUUAAGCCGAAGGAUUUCACCCCGGACUUGACAGCCCGCCUACGCGCCCUUUAAGCCCAGUGAUUCCGAACAACGUUCGCACGGUUCGUCUUACCGCGGCUGCUGGCAC
rnacentral:rRNA from 3 species